rnacentral:rRNA from 1 species
GCGAGGUGGUGCUAAUCCUAGAAAGUUUCUUGUAGUCCGGAUUGGAGUCUGCAACUCGACUCCAUGAAGUCGGAAUCGCUGGUAAUCGCGGAUCAGCAUGCCGCGGUGAAUACGUUCUCGGGUCUUGUACACACCGCCCGUCACACCAUGGAAGUGGAUUGCACCAGAAGUAGAUAGUCUAACCUUCGGGAGGGCGUUUACCACGGUGUGCUUCAUGACUGGGGUGAAGUCGUAACAAGGUAGCCGUAGGGGAACCUGUGGCUGGAUCACCUCCUU